rfam:Schistosoma haematobium scaffold425_8, whole genome shotgun sequence.
ACACUGCUGCAGAGUCCUACCAUUGGACGAAACGGCCGUCCAGUAC